rfam:Gossypium hirsutum cultivar TM-1 unplaced genomic scaffold scaffold154.1, whole genome shotgun sequence
UGUUAAAAACUGCAUCCAUUUUUACUAUUAAAAACAAUAUAGUUGAUGAAAUAACUAUACAGUUACAUAUGGUAUGCCACGUGUACCUCAUGCUAACAUACAGUGAUUAGUUUUUAACAGUAAAAGAUGAGAUUUUCAAUA